UACAGAGGAUGCAAGCGUUAUCCGGAAUGAUUGGGCGUAAAGCGUCUGUCGGCGGCUUUUUAAGUCCGCCGUCAAAUCCCAGGGCUCAACUCUGGACAGGCGGUGGAAACUACCAAGCUGGAGUACGGUAGGGGCAGAGGGAAUUUCCGGUGGAGCGGUGAAAUGCGUAGAGAUCCGGAGGAACACCAGUGGUGCAAACGGCGCCCUGGGUCCGAACUGACGCUGAAGCACGAAAGCGUGGGGAGCGAACGGG
rnacentral:rRNA from 1 species